rfam:Rachicladosporium antarcticum strain CCFEE 5527 scaffold_3, whole genome shotgun sequence.
AUCUCUUCUCCACCAGUAUCGCAGCACGCUGACAAUCGCUCAGUACCUGGUCUUUUCAGUCCAAUCGCUGAAACUCGACCACUGUCGAUUUACGAUUAUCAUCAUUUUUCGAACCCACGAGGUGCUCACUGAGCUUGCUCACAGCAGUCUUGCACCGUGUCCUUGGCCUUGCACUGCCGCCUUGUGACGCGAAGAACGC